AUUAUGCCAUGCCACAUCAUCUCAACAUUUCUCAUAUUAAUUAUGCCAUGCCACAUCAUCUCAACAUUUCUCAUAUUAAUUAUGCCAUGCCACAUCAUCUCAACAGUAAUAAGGUAUGAAUGCAUCAACAUAAUCAUAUCAGGUGCAAGAAAGUAAUCAACCGUAGGCCCUCUAAUAGCCCUGUACGGUUGAACCUAGAGCUCAAAAUCUAUCACUCUCACACUCUGCCGGAGUCACUCCGCGUGACCUGUACGGCCUUCUGCACAUAAGUUACGCUCUAGUGCUUCUCAUAAUCAUUUGUGCACAUAAUCUAAGGUCACCCACCAGUCGGAAUCUCACUAACACUCUCGCGACUGGCCUGUCGUACCCACUCCGCGUGGACUGUACGACUAGCAUCUACUUGGAUCCAAGACGAGCGUGCGAUGCGGUGAAUACUAUAAGCACUAAACUAUGGUGCAGGAUUUGAGCUCAAUAUACAUCAACAUCAUCAUAACAGAAAUAAAUACUCACAUGUGCGUCCACCGCACCAUUUCAUACAUAUGCAUCAUAAAUCAAUUCUUACCCGUGCGUCCACCGCACCAAUUCAUACAUAUGCAUCAUAAAUCAAUUCUUACCUGUGCGUCCACCGCACCAAUUCAUACAUAUGCAUCAUAAAUCAAUUCUUACCUGUGCGUCCACCGCACUAAUUCAUACAUAUGCAUCAUAUAUUAAUUCAUGCAUGGCAUUUCAACUCACAUUUCUAAAUACUUUUCAUAUCAAUUCUAUGCAUGGUAUUUCACUUCCCGUUUUUCCACAUAACUCAUAUGCAUUUCAUUUUAAACAUAUUUUCAUUUCAAUUCAAUUUCUGGGAAACGUCAAGUAUAUAUAUAUAUACGGAAAACAAAACUGCCCACUCACCUGGAGUUCGUCCAACAACUCCCUAGCACCACACAUCAAGGCGUCACGACGAUCGGCGCCUAAAACAAUAAUCAAAUCUAGCCUCAGAAUUCAUAUCGAUAGAACAUAUAACUUAUAUAAAAUACGUCACUACGUAGUUCGAUCCGGAAGAUCUGCCACUCAGAUUUUAAAUCCAUAACUUCCAGAGGUCCACAAUAUAUCUCUAGGAUAACAUCCUAAAAUUUCAUUUCCAUCCAACGGUCGGAUCUCCGUCAAUUUCCAAAACUAAGUGACGGUUAACAUUUUAUAUUAUGGACUUACAACUCCAAUUCCGGAAGAUCCGUAACUCGGAUUCCCAAUCCGUAAGUUCCAAUAAUCCUCCAAUAUUACGUAUUACAACGUAUCAAAGUUUGGUGAUGAUCCAACGGUCGGAUCGUCAAUUCAUAUUUUCACCUAAAUGCAAAAACUAUAAAACGUUAUUUGAACACCUAACCAACAAUCCUUAACAACUUUCUCAUACGGUGCUCAAUUUGGGUAUAUGAAUAUACCACGGUGAUCUACUCGACGUCACGGACGUCGAAAUAUUUUUAAAAUAAUUUUUUACUGUAGCACGCGACCCCACGCGCCAAGGAAGGCACGGACCUACGCGCCCCCACGCGCACCUUCUUCUUCCUUGGGUCGCUGGACUGGUUUUUCCGGUGACCGGAAAACUGGGCAUUUUUCAAAUGCCUUGUUCUCCUUCGUUUCUCAACCAUUUUCUUCGUAUAAUAUAUCAAAUUGAAGCCCCAAACAUGUAGAAUCACAAUAUACUACUUUAAAGCUCUAAAAACCAUGAAAUCUCACCGGAAAAAUUCCAAGAAAACCGGCCAAAGAUGAACCACGUGAUCCCGGCGUCUAAAUCCUUCAAACGAAGCACUCCGAGCUUCCUUGGGACCUCACUAAGCUCACUAUGAACUUGGAUUGUCCUAAAAUCAACCAACAAAAAGUUCAUGAAUAGUGCCAAACUCGGACCUCGAGUUUUCAACGCGAAAACGAAGGAUUCCUUACCUGAAAAUGGUGUCUACGUGAUCGUGGAGGUUCCAGGAGUUCGAUGGUGGUCUUAAAUUGGACGUUCGUGGAGGUUUGAUUGAGGUUGUGUGUGAGUCCGUAUGUUCGAGAGUAAGAGAGAGAGUGAGAGAGAGUUUUCUGAGAAGAAUAAGAUAGAGAGAAGAGGUUACGGGUUUUAGGGAGGGAAUUCAGGGUAGGAGGCCCUACCUAAGUCCAAACACAAAUUAACCAUAGUUUCGGAUCUUUAGAUAACACAAUGUCGUACAUUUACGCACCUUAAUCCCGUUUAAGGGCAUAUUGGUCAUUUCACGUCCUCGGAAUUAAAAUUCCGAGACGGGCUGUGACAAUCUCCCCUCCUUAUAGAAUUUCGUCCCCGAAAUUCCAGCCACCAACCAACCCAUCAAUACUCAUACCAAACUCGGUAAGUUUCUUUCAUCCGAUUCUUUUUCUCCUACGAAAUUUUCUUCCACUGAAUAAUUCCUUCACAAAACUUUUACCAUUUACUCUAUCUUAACUCUCAUGAUCUUCUUUUUCCAAUCCAAAGUUGUCAUUAGCUCCUCACUAAUUAGAUCCAGUUUAAUUCUCAAUAGUUACACCAGAAUUCCAUGAGACGACUCUGCCACCUAGUGACAACGCAUCGAACACAAAAUACAUUAAGUACCGUUGCCCUGUCUGGGAAAAAGUUAUUACUCAGCACUGGAGUAAUUGUACUAACUUGGUACAUUGCCCAACUAUCACUUCAAAUUCGAUCAUAACCAUCCUAUGUACAAGGAAACUUGUACACAUAAUCCAAAGUAAUAUCUUUCCAUUUCCACUGCGAAACAGAAAAUAGUUAUCUCAAUCCAAAGGUUUAUCUUUUUCUGCCUCAAUCUGCUGACCAAAUAAAACUGUCGAAUGGUAUGAUAAAUCUUAUUACUUUUGGAAUAUUGCAGAAGUUGAACAGUGAACUUCGUCCAAAUUUGCUUGCUUUAAAUCCUCAGCAUUAGGCACAUACUUUUUGUUUUCUUGUAUCCACAUACCAUUUGAUUCACGAAUCAUGUACUCAUUCUUUUUCCCUUCUUUCUCUGCCUUGGUUAAUUCUUAAAUUUCCUCGUCAAACAUUUAAGUUUCGAGUACGACCUUACCAAAAGGCCUAACUUGAAACUUAGCAAGUAUAACUUCUUCUCGAUCUUUCAUUCUUAACUUUACUUUAGUUGGUUUCCAAUCCACAAGAUGAUACUCUUGGCCAACGUGCCAGACAUUAAUUCUUACUGCAAUCUUUUUAUCAAGUGCUUCAACUAUAUCAAUCCCACGAUCACCCUGGUCGUACAAUCAUGUUCAUUAAACAAUUCAAUUUACCUUCGCUGCCUCAUAUCAAAAUCCUUCCAAGUAAUGGAUAUUGAAGACUUUUUGGAUUCGUAAAAUCUUGCAUUCUUACCAAAUAUAAUGCCUUCAUAACUUCACAGCAAGAAUGGUAAUCAUGACUUCCAAGUCACCCGUAGGGUAAUUCAUCUCAGGAGGUUCCAUUUAUCGUGAAACGUAUGCAAUCACCCUAACAUUUGCAUCAACAUGCCUCCAAUACCAUUCAAGAAACAUCACUAAAAAUUUAUGAUUACCACUAUUCUCUGGGAAUACCAAAAUACGUGCAUGAGUGAGGAAAUACUUCAGUUGUUGAAUCCUUUGCUCACAAUUUCCUUCCCACUCAUACAUAACCUCUUUUCUCAACAGUCUCGUCAAUGACAAAGCAAUGACUAAAAAAUCUUUCACAACCAUCCAAAAUAGCCUGGUAAGCUAAGAAAUUCCGAAUCUCAAUUAUGGCUUGUGGUUGUUCCAAAUUUUUAAUUUCUACUACUUUUUAAGGAUUCACUUGAAUACCUUAAGAAUAUAUAACAUAUCCCAGAAUGCCACCUGAUUCAUCUAACUUUAACAUUUGCUACUUAGCAUACAACCAACGUUCUCUCAAUCUUUGCUUCACCAACUUAAUACGUUUACAUGCUCUGCUCUGGCUCAGAAUAUGCCAGAAUAUCUUCAAUGAAAACGAUAUCAAUUAUCAAAGCAUUAUUGGAAUACUUCAUCCAUCAACUCAUAAAACAACAUGAGUAUCCAUAUAGCAUCACCAAACUUCAUAAAGACUAUAACAAGUCCAGAAAACCAUCUUAUGAUCAACGUCAUUCAUAAUCUUUAAUUGGUAAUAACCAGACUUCAAGUCAAUCUUUGAAAAUAUACAAGCACCUUUGAACUGAUCAAAUGAGCGUCAAUACACCACAAUGGAUAACGGUUCUCAUUCGUUACCCGAUUCCAUUAUCUAUAAUCAAUGCACAAUCUCUAAGUCCAUUUUCUUUUUCACCAACGAACUGGUGCUCCUCAAAAGUGUUAUACUGGGUUGAAUAAACUUUUAUCAACCAAUUCCCUCAAUUGAAUUUCCAAUUCACUUAACUCAUCAUGAACCAAUCUCUAUCAUAAGAUUUAUACCUGGCAACAAUUCAAUAGUGAACCUCACAUCUUUGCAUGAAGGCAAUCCAGGUAUACUUUCAAGGACAACAUUAAGAAAGCGUCCAAUUACCUUUACAUUUUCCAACUACUAGGAGCCACAUUAUUUAGCAUCACAUAAGCUAAGUAUCCUUGACAGAUCUUCGAAAACAAUCUCCUUGCUCUCACAGCAUAAAUAACGGCCUGACUCAAUCCACUUUGCAUACUUACAAAAGUAAUCUCUGGUCAUCCAGAUCGAUGGAAAGUACUGGUUUCCUGUAACAUUCCGUCGUGUCACAAUUAUAACCAACCAAUCUAAUGGAACAGAAUUAACUGAUACAAUAUAUAUUCUAUUAUUAAGCAUUCUGAAGAAGUACAAUACUAACAUAAAAUAAUCUACUAGGUUGCUUGCUUAACAAAUCCACGAAUGAGUUAUUAAUAUUACGGUCUGCAGCCCGCAAUACUGAUAAAUCAUCGUUGUCUCGAUAAGUAGGCAACCACUCUCAAAGAUAUAACAUUACUAUUUUGAUACUCAAUGCAAAAUACAUACACUCGUCUCAACUACAAUUAAUUACUACUCUCUAGGUAAUAACAUACAUAAUAAGAAAUAUAUCAGCCGAAGUCAACUAGAAUGACCAAUACGGCUGAUUCAACUCUUAUCUCAAUAAUACGUCGGUCGGAUCCACUCCGCGUGGUCGGUACGGCCGAGCCUAUAACUCACCAAUUUCUCAUGCGUCAGCCAGAUCCACCUCUCGUGGCCUGUACGGCUGAACAUAUAACUCAUCAAAUCUCUCUGUACUCACGGUCAAUCCGACCAAACUACUAAAUCCAUAACUCUGCUGAAUCGAUACUACGAUGUCAUAGAAAACUGUUGGGUACAACUGAUUCUAGGGACGAUUCAUAAUUUUGUGUCCUCUCUGUUCACAUAAACACAUUCCUUAAUUUCACACUUCCCAAAGUGUUAAUUUUGUACCUGCUGCACAAGGUACAUUUCCUUUACUCGAGACACCUUGUCUCAAAUAUCUGGAUGGAACGAGGCAAGUCUGAAAACUUUCUAUAAUAUUCAUUUAUCGUCAACUUCCUUGAUUCACAUUUGUAAACUCUUGCUUACUACCAUCGAUAAAUGCCGGAGGGAUAAACUUUUCCUUAAACAAGUCCUUAAAUAAUUCUCAAUCAGCUGUUUUCUCCGGUGACAACAAUUAACAAUCCUGUUUCCACCAGGAUACAAAUUCAUACCCAAAACCAGGUAGUCGUCUCGACCCCUUGUCAGAAGGAAGAUUCCUUUGACUUGCAUAAUCCGAAACAUCUUUUCCAAAUGUUUAAACCGUUACUUUGUUCCCUCAGGUUCAUCAUUUCUCUUAUGUGAUUCAAGUUCAACUCAUUACCCAUCUUAAAAUGUCCAUUUUGAUAAUAUACUGAAUCACCAUAAUAAUAGUUUCCCCUAACCCGCUAAAUCAGGGAGACUAAGUUCCUCUAACUACGUGGUUUGCUACGAGGCGGUGUAGUUCUGACAGAAUUCACUAGAAACUUCUCAAGAUGUCCAAGAUUGCAACCAUGCUCUGAUACCAACUGACACACCCCGUCCCGAAGGAGGGCAUGCUGGCCGUCACGUGAGAGUGACGUAACCAUUUGCACAGUACGGAAGCUUUAAGAUACAAUUUAUAAGUUGAUACACCCGAAGGUGAGUCCUAAUUUUGUCCAAUCUGUCAGAACACCGUCGAAUUCCUCGUAGUCACCACACCUUUGUGAUUUUUGAACCUGGAGGGGCGCAAAACCAAAAUUGAGUGGGUCAGUAAAACAAUUCUUUUCCAAAUCCAAACAUUUCUCAAAACGUUGUAACCCCUCUCCGUAAAACCUGUAUACUUUCCCAGAAAUGUAAAAUAUAAAUCUACAUAUAUAUUCUCAAGACUUCAAGUCGUUAACUCAACAUUUUCAUACAAUUAUGCCAUGCCACAUCAUCUCAACAUUUCUCAUAUUAAUUAUGCCAUGCCACAUCAUCUCAACAGUAAUAAGGUAUGAAUGCAUCAACAUAAUCAUAUCAGGUGCAAGAAAGUAAUCAACCGUAGGCCCUCUAAUAGCCCUGUACGGUUGAACCUAGAGCUCAAAAUCUAUCACUCUCACACUCUGCUGGAGUCACUCCGCGUGACCUGUACGGCCUUCUGCACAUAAGUUACGCUCUAGUGCUUCUCAUAAUCAUUUGUGCACAUAAUCUAAGGUCACCCACCAGUCGGAAUCUCACUAACACUCUCGCGACUGGCCUGUCGUACCCACUCCGCGUGGACUGUACGACUAGCAUCUACUUGGAUCCAAGACGAGCGUGCGAUGCGGUGAAUACUAUAAGCACUAAACUAUGGUGCAGGAUUUGAGCUCAAUAUACAUCAACAUCAUCAUAACAGAAAUAAAUACUCACAUGUGCGUCCACCGCACCAUUUCAUACAUAUGCAUCAUAAAUCAAUUCUUACCCGUGCGUCCACCGCACCAAUUCAUACAUAUGCAUCAUAAAUCAAUUCUUACCUGUGCGUCCACCGCACCAAUUCAUACAUAUGCAUCAUAAAUCAAUUCUUACCUGUGCGUCCACCGCACUAAUUCAUACAUAUGCAUCAUAUAUUAAUUCAUGCAUGGCAUUUCAACUCACAUUUCUAAAUACUUUUCAUAUCAAUUCUAUGCAUGGUAUUUCACUUCCCGUUUUUCCACAUAACUCAUAUGCAUUUCAUUUUAAACAUAUUU
rnacentral:lncRNA from 1 species